AUGCCAUCCAAAACUUACCAACCAACGAACCAAACAGCCGCCGUUAUCGCCUACCUCAAGCGGCCGUUGCACGCCACUGCCACCAACGACGCUCCUGAUAGCGACGCACCUCUCUCUCUCUCAUCGGCGCCGUACGGAAUUCGAUAUACCGAGAAAGUGAAGUGCGCAUUUGGAUCUCAGAAAGCGAUAUACAUUUUGAUUUCUUCCUCUCAAAUUUUCAACUCGCCACAGGGGUAA